AGGUGCAAGAGUGGGGAGAUAGGAGGGUGGGGAAGUAGAUGGCGCAGUAGUAAGCUCAUGACUCUACUCCCCAUCUCCUAUGUGAAUGACACUGACAUCAUCAAGAAUUGGAACAGUCUGAAAUGGUGAUCCCUAUAAAAAUUGAGACUGUUCCUCGGUGCGCUGCGCGACCAUCUGCCCCCACAACUCUUUCAAUGUAGGUUGAUGAAUCAAUAUUUUACACCAUUCACUUAGUUUUUCGCGCCUAAUUGUGUUGAUGAAUUAUGCUUAAUUCUUAGUUAUCGUGUCAUUUUCACCAUUUGGG
rnacentral:lncRNA from 1 species